GACAACCCGAUGCCCUGGUAUCUACCCCAGCGCUUAGAACGGUGCUUGGCACAUAGUGAGCGCCUAACAGCUAUUAUUGUAUUAUCGUAUUUAGGACCGUCGUCAGAAGCCCGGCCAGGCUCAAUCCUCCCUCAUGCCCUCCCUUUUUCUGGUGCCCCGCCCUGGUCCCAGAGGCCGUAGGGAGCAGGACCCUACGAGAAGCAGCGUGGCUCAGCGGCAAGGACACGGGCUUGGGAGUCGGAGGUCGUGGGUUCUAAUCCCGGCUCCUCCGCUUGUCCACCGUGAGACUUUGGGACCGUCGUCAGAAGCCCGGCCAGGCCCGGCCUGGGAAGAUCGGCUCCCCAAACAUCAGUUCGGCCGCGUCAGGGCGGUACGGUUCCAUCGGAGUUCUGCUCAUCCGGAAAACCGGGACGAAGACCGCGCGCCUCACGGACGACCACCCGAGGACCCCGCGUGUGUCCCCGCGCGGCGCCUGGCCCACCGUGAGGCCUUAACGACCGCCCUCCUCGCCGUCCGUCACCUCGUCCGGAAAAGGGGGAUGAAAACUCCGAGCCUCCCGUGGGCCGACCCCGCCGACCUGGCGUCCCGGGCCCGAGCGGCGCUCAGCCCGUAGCCAGCGCCUAACGGAGAGCAGCGCCGCCGUCCUUAUUAUUAUUAAUGAGUUGCCGGUCACCGGGCGGAGGAGAAGCGACACGUGGAAGGCGGAGGGAGGGAGGCCGGGCCGGCUCCUCCCUCCGGGGGAAAACCCCUGCCUAAUAUUUAUAAGGUUAGAUGACAUAUAGCGUAAAGGCUGGGAAGGCGGCGGCGGCGGGAGCGAGAGUAUCAACAGGCCCGGAGCCUCCUCAUUGGGCGGCGGUGAUGUCACACCCAUGUCAAUACUUCCCCCAGAACGCACGUGUUCGACCUUUUCUUUCCAUUUCAUCGGGGCCUUAAGGCCA